UACGGAGGGUGCGAGCGUUGUCCGGAAUCAUUGGGCGUAAAGGGCGCGUAGGUGGCCCCUCAAGCGUGCGGUGAAAGUCAGGGGCUCAACCCCUGAUCGGCCGUGCGAACUGGGGAGCUUGAGCACUGUAGAGGCAGGCGGAAUUCCGGGUGUAGCGGUGGAAUGCGUAGAGAUCCGGAAGAACACCGGUGGCGAAGGCGGCCUGCUGGGCAGUUUGCUGACACUGAGGCGCGACAGCGUGGGGAGC
rnacentral:rRNA from 1 species